rnacentral:lncRNA from 1 species
AGCUGCAGCUUUGGAGGAGUAAGCGGCGUGGUAGCGAAGGUCGCCGAACCCGCCUGGCUAGCCGGCGAGUUGAGUGGCGACUCUUUUGAAACAGAUGGUCACCAUGUUUAGAUAUUAGCAGUCCCGUAUGUGCAUGUCUGCAUUUGAAAAUGGAAGAGGGAAACAACAAUGAAGAGGUAAUUCACUUGAACAACUUUCACUGCCAUCGGGGACAAGACUUUGUAAUUUUCUUCUGGAAAACCCAGAUUAUCCAAAGAGAGAAGACAGAAUCAUUAUAAAUCCCAGUAGCAGUCUGCUGGCCAGCCAAGAUGAGACAAAGCACUGCUUCAUCCAAGCUGCUGACCUCCUCAUGGCCGACUUCAAAGUGCUCAGUAGUCAGGACAUCAUGUGGGCCCUGCACGAGCUCAAAGGACACUAUGCAAUCACCCGAAAGGGGUUGGCAUCUGCACAUCCUUCCUGGGCAUCUCGUGGGCACUGCUCGAUUACCACCAGGCCUUGCACACCUGCCUCCCCUCCAAGCCCCUCCUGGGCCUGGGCUCCUCUGUGAUCUACGUCCUGUGGAACCUGCUGCUACUGUGGCCCCGAGUCCUAGCUGUGGCCCUGUUCUCAGCCCUCUUCCCCAGUAUGUAGCCCUGCAUUUCCUGGGCCUGUGGCUGGUACUGCUGCUCUGGGUUUGGCUUCAAGGCACAGACUUCAUGCUGGACCCCAGUUCCGAGUAUCCUCUAUUUCUCCUGGUUCAACGUGGCUGAGGGCCACACCCGAGGCCGGGCCACCAUCCACUUGGCUUUCCUCCUGAGUGACAGCAUUCUCCUGGUGGCCACCUGGGUGACUUACAGCUCCUGGCUGCCCAGCAGGAUUCCACUGCAGCUGUGGCUGCCUGUAGGAGGCGGAUGCUUCUUUCUGGGCCUGGCUCUGUGGCUUGUGUGCUACUGCUGGCUGCACCCUAGCUGAUGCUGGGAGCCCAACCCUGACCAGGUGGACAGGACCCAGAGUCUACUUUCCUCAGAGGGGUAUCAGCUGCCUCAGACCCAGUUAGCACAGA